GACGGAGGAUGCAAGCGUUAUCCGGAAUUAUUGGGCGUAAAGCGUACGUAGGCUGUUUCAUAAGUCUGUUGUCAAAGCCCGAGGCUCAACCUUGGAUCGGCAAUGGAAACUGUGAGACUAGAGAGAGAUAGGGGCAGGAGGAAUUCCAGGUGUAGCGGUGAAAUGCGUAGAUAUCUGGAAGAACACCAGUGGCGAAAGCGUCCUGCUGGAUCUCAACUGACGCUGAAGUACGAAAGCUAGGGGAGCGAAUGGGAUUAGAUACCCCAGUAGUCCUAGCCGUAAACGAUGGGUACUAGGUGUUGGUCGUAUCGACCCGAUCAGUGCCGUAGCUAACGCGUUAAGUACCCCGCCUGGGGAGUACGGUCGCAAGAUUG
rnacentral:rRNA from 1 species